rnacentral:rRNA from 1 species
UACGGAGGGUGCGAGCGUUAAUCGGAAUUACUGGGCGUAAAGCGUGCGCAGGCGGUUCGUUAAGUCAGAUGUGAAAGCCCCGGGCUCAACCUGGGAACUGCAUUUGAAACUGGCGGGCUUGAGUGUGGCAGAGGGGGGUGGAAUUCCGCGUGUAGCAGUGAAAUGCGUAGAGAUGCGGAGGAACACCGAUGGCGAAGGCAGCCCCCUGGGCCAACACUGACGCUCAUGCACGAAAGCGUGGGGAGCAAACAGG